GACGAACGCUGGCGGCGUGCUUAACACAUGCAAGUCGAACGGAAAGGCCCUGCUUUUGUGGGGUGCUCGAGUGGCGAACGGGUGAGUAACACGUGAGUAACCUGCCCUUGACUUUGGGAUAACUUCAGGAAACUGGGGCUAAUACCGGAUAGGAGCUCCUGCUGCAUGGUGGGGUUGGUAAGUUUCGGCGGUUGGGGAUGGACUCGCGGCUUAUCAGCUUGUUGGUGGGGUAGUGGCUUACCAAGGCUUUGACGGGUAGCCGGCCUGAGAGGGUGACCGGCCACAUUGGGACUGAGAUGCGGCCCAGACUCCUACGGGAGGCAGCAGUGGGGAAUAUUGCACAAUGGGCGGAAGCCUGAUGCAGCAACGCCGCGUGCGGGAUGACGGCCUUCGGGUUGUAAACCGCUUUCGCCUGUGACGAAGCGUGAGUGACGGUAAUGGGUAAAGAAGCACCGGCUAACUACGUG
rnacentral:rRNA from 1 species